rnacentral:misc_RNA from 1 species
CAUAAUUGGGGCAGCGAUAAUGAUUAUAGGAGUGGUUUUACCUGUCGGUUACAUGAUGUUUCGUACCAAGCGUGUCCCUUCUUCUUCCUCUUACUCGAAACAGACGUAGGAGCAAAGUUUUGAUAUAGAGAGAUCAGGACAAGAGACUCUUCUAUACAAUUCUUGGUCACUUGAGUUUGAAGAACAUGCAAAAACAAGGUGGUCUUGACUGAUGUGAAAAUACAAAUGUAAAUGCACUGAAAACUACAAUUUUGUUAUAUUGCUGUUGGGAUUUCUAAUUUCAUUUU